rnacentral:lncRNA from 1 species
CUCCCUCUUCUGAAAUGUCGAGUUCGCAAUCAGAAGCUCGGCCGCCCUAGCGAAAUCAAGCAGUGAAGUGCCUCCUCCGUUCCUAAGCUGAAGCCACCAUGCACCUCACCAUAACCCCCAGCAUCAGCCCCAAUAUGACCAUUAAAGCCCCCCCAAUAACUAACUUCUCAGAUUGGGGAAUACUACUCACCAAAUCAUCCAAGUCCUCCCAAAAUCGCCUCUUAGCCUCCUCGUCUAAGCCCGCUUGCAGCG